rnacentral:rRNA from 1 species
AUUGAACGCUGGCGGCAUGCCUUACACAUGCAAGUCGAACGGCAGCACGGGAGCAAUCCUGGUGGCGAGUGGCGAACGGGUGAGUAAUAUAUCGGAACGUGCCCAGUCGUGGGGAUAACGUAGCGAAAGCUACGCUAAUACCGCAUACGAUCUAUGGAUGAAAGCGGGGGAUCGCAAGACCUCGCGCGAUUGGAGCGGCCGAUAUCAGAUUAGGUAGUUGGUGAGGUAAAGGCUCACCAAGCCGACGAUCUGUAGCUGGUCUGAGAGGACGACCAGCCACACUGGGACUGAGACACGGCCCAGACUCCUACGGGAGGCAGCAGUGGGGAAUUUUGGACAAUGGGCGCAAGCCUGAUCCAGC